rnacentral:rRNA from 1 species
CCUACGGGUGGCUGCAGUGAGGAAUAUUGGUCAAUGGGCGUGAGCCUGAACCAGCCAAGUCGCGUGAGGGAAGACUGCCCUAUGGGUUGUAAACCUCUUUUGUCAGGGAGCAAUGCCGGCUACGCGUAGCCGGAGUGAGAGUACCUGAAGAAAAAGCAUCGGCUAACUCCGUGCCAGCAGCCGCGGUAAUACGGAGGAUGCGAGCGUUAUCCGGAUUUAUUGGGUUUAAAGGGUGCGUAGGCGGAAUGCCAAGUCAGCGGUAAAAUGGCGGGGCUCAACCCCGUUCGGCCGUUGAAACUGGCGUUCUUGAGUGGGCGAGAAGUAUGCGGAAUGCGUGGUGUAGCGGUGAAAUGCAUAGAUAUCACGCAGAACUCCGAUUGCGAAGGCAGCAUACCGGCGCCCAACUGACGCUGAAGCACGAAAGCGUGGGUAUCGAACAGGAUUAGAUACCCGGGUAGUC